rnacentral:misc_RNA from 1 species
GAAAAGUAACAAAUCUCGGAGUUUUGUCCAAUUUUGACUAAUGAAAUAUAUCUAGAUUGCCUACAGUUUCUCCUAAAAAUGGCAUUAAACAGGCUCUUGACCUUCUCUUUAAAAUGAUUUCAAAUUGAACAUAGGUACUGGGAUUACUUUUCCUGUGAUUAAAUAAAGAAUGUAAAAAUAUUUAUUUUCUACAUAAUUCCUUUAAAGCCAUAAAAUACGGGAAAAGAUUCAUCAAAUCAUUUAUGAUGUCACAAUGGUUCUAGCACCAAAAAGACACUCUGGAAUCGUUUACUAGGUCUUGACCUUAUGGCGUCAACGUCGGUACACGCUAUCAAACAAAGAUUUUGUUAUGAAGCAUCAUUAAGAGAAUUUAUAUCUUGGAAUUUCAUAAACCUGUAAGCACCUUUCAUUUACUAGAUCUUGACCUUAAGGUUGAAUUCUGUCAUUAACGGUGUUUUAGUGUUCUGAAUUUAGAAGCUUUUAUGUUAUUUAUAUGUGAAUGUGUUUGUGUGAAUGUGUUGGUUGGUAGGUGUUAGAUCUAUUUUACUUUGAAAUUCAAUAAUUUGUGCUAUAAUAUUGAUUUAUUAUACGUUUGAAAUAAUCUACAAUAUCAACUCUUUAUAUUUUUUUUCUAAGGGAUUGAAAAAAUAAUUUUAAAAUUGUUUUUUAAUUUCUUUAAUCAAAGUAUGAUAGCUAAUGCUUGACUGUGUUAAAUUACUUUAAAUGAAUCUACAACUGAGAAUUUUUUUUAACUUCAGCAAAUUGUUAUAAUAAAAUUUCAUGAAAUAC